CAUUUUCAAAACAUAA
rnacentral:sRNA from 1 species